rfam:Terribacillus aidingensis strain MP602, complete genome.
AACCUAAUAAACGUUAUACCUAAGACAGCAGGUGCCCUAGGGCUUAAUCUCCUGCCGAGGUGUGUGAGAUAUAAAGGCAGUCUGUUCCGACUGUUCCUUGUGAUCAUGCCUCCAUGUCGAAUGGAGGCAUUUUUCAUGUUAACU